AAGAGCACGAUGACGCCGACGACAAACCUACACGGAUCAACACCAAAUGAGAACUAAUAGAGGGCCAAAACGAGCUUGGAAAGGGCUAGAUCUUUCUGGUUUUUCCAGCAGCUAACCGAGCUUCAAGGGCGACGGAACGGCGGCGAACGGACGGAGGAACGGCGGAGAAGGACCAGCGGUAGCUCGAGCAAGAACCGGCAGUGGCUUGGGCGGAGGAACGGCGGCGACGGAGGCUUCGGCGGCGGCGAACAGCAGCUGGUUUGGGGUGACGACGGUGCGGGACUCGCGGCGGAGACGGAGGCGAGCGGCUC
rnacentral:lncRNA from 1 species